CCUACGGGUGGCAGCAGUGGGGAAUAUUGGACAACGGGCGAAAGCCUGAUCCAGCCAUGCCGCGUGUGUGAAGAAGGCCUUCGGGUUGUAAAGCACUUUCAGUGGGGAAGAAAGCCUUGGGGCUAAUACCCUCGAGGAAGGACAUCACCCACAGAAGAAGCACCGGCUAACUCCGUGCCAGCAGCCGCGGUAAUACGGAGGGUGCGAGCGUUAAUCGGAAUUACUGGGCGUAAAGCGCGCGUAGGCGGUCUGAUAAGCCGGUUGUGAAAGCCCCGGGCUCAACCUGGGAACGGCAUCCGGAACUGUCAAGCUAGAGUGCAGGAGAGGAAGGUAGAAUUCCCGGUGUAGCGGUGAAAUGCGUAGAGAUCGGGAGGAAUACCAGUGGCGAAGGCGGCCUUCUGGACUGACACUGACGCUGAGGUGCGAAAGCGUGGGUAGCAAACAGGAUUAGAUACCCCAGUAGUC
rnacentral:rRNA from 1 species